GAAGGUGGGGAUGACGUCAAAUCAUCAUGCCCCUUAUGACCUGGGCUACACACGUGCUACAAUGGACGGUACAAAGAGAUGCAAGACCGCGAGGUGGAGCUAAUCUCAUAAAACCGUUCUCAGUUCGGAUUGUAGGCUGCAACUCGCCUACAUGAAGCGGGAAUCGCUCGUAAUCGCGGAUCAGCAUGCCGCGGUGAAUUCGUUCCCGGGCCUUGUACACACCGCCCGUCACACCAUGAGUUUGUAACACCCCGAAGUCGGUGGGGUAACCUUUUUGGAGCCAGCCGCGUAAGGUGGGACAGAUGAUUGGGGUGAAGUCGAACAGG
rnacentral:rRNA from 1 species